UUUUUUUUUUCCCUCAAGAAUUUAUCCAUGGAUGAUCUUCACAGUACACAUCAUAAUAGACCAGAUGUGUGCAUUGAAAUGAAGAGGAAAAUGGGAUUGUACAAGUCACUUACUUUAUAGAAACUCCUGUUAUAAUGAAAUAAAAAGAGCAAACCUCCAUGACUUAAGAUCGCCAAUGUAAAUGAAACGGUUCUUUCCUAUGGGGUGAACUGUAAGAUUAGAGGCGUAUGAAGGUUUACUGAAUUAUAAUGCCCCAAAUAAUAGCACCUGAAUUACUGCUACAAACUUCUCAGAAGUGAGAAAUAUGGUUAAGGUCAGCUGCGUCUCUCACUCUAGGUAUCCAGGACCCAGGAGCUUGUUUUCUCGCUGAAGCUAUGAAUAUGGUAUGGAGAAUGUAGCCCGUGAUCACGGUCUGAAAACGCAAGAGUCUUGACUUUGCAGAUGUCCUUGGGAGUGUACUAUGCAGUCCCAUGGCUUAGUAUACUUUGUGGGUAUGGCUUCCGGAACAUCCCUGGUGCUCCUCUAUAAAGUGGUGUGGCCUGUGAACAGGGAGCUGUGUUGGGGAAGAGGGGACAGUCCCCCCUGCUGUGGGGAUCUUUGUUUAGCCAGCACAUUUGCAGUCAGCACUCAGCUUGUGUCCAUCUCUUAGAUCACAGGAAGGUGGGCUGGGGUAUGUUGUACUUGCUGUUCGUUCCUUGUUUCUAUUAGGCUAUUUCCACCUCUGCACAACACACACUGUAUCACUAACAUGCCUCACCUUCAUACAUCUGAUGUCCAAAGGUUCAUUUCCACAUCUUUUUGAGCAGGAAUUAAUCUACAGCUCCAUGAUUAUAAACUUUUUUCAUAUCUAGUUAACCUUCUUCCAUGAUAAUGUCUACUCUGUGGCUUUUGGGCUUGUCACUUGAAAUGGUUUCAUUGUGUCCCCACCCAAAUCUCACCUGAAAUUGUAAUAAUCCCCAUGUGUCAAGGGCAGGGCCAGGUAAAGAAAAUGGAAUCAUGGGAAUAGUUUUCCCCAUACUAUUCUCAUGGUAGUAAAUAAGUCUCACAAGAUUUGAUGGUUUUAUAAAUGGGAGUUCCCCUGCACAAGUUCUCCUGUCUGCCAUUAUGUAGGAUGUGACUUUGCUCCUCAUUCGCCUUCUGCCAUGAUGGUGAGGCCUCCCAGACCAUGUGAAACUGUGAGUCAAUUAAACCUCUUUCCUUUAUAAAUUACCCAGUCUUAGGUAUGUCUUUAUUAGCAUCAUGAGAACAGAUUAAUGUACCAAAGGACAAUAUAGAUCCAUGACGUGAGUGUCAAGAGAAUGUGUGGUCCCAUA
rnacentral:lncRNA from 1 species